AAUACAAAGCAGAAGCCAGGCCUAGGCUGGUGAUUUCCCAGCUCUGCUCCUGGAAGCCCUGCAGCCACACUUGGGGUCUAGCAGUGUCUUGGAGCUGGGACCGCUUGUGGCUGGUCCCUGGGCAAGCGUUUCCUCUGCGCAAGACACAAUUCCAGCCUCACCUGUUCCUCCCACUCAGACCCGGGCUUCCAAGAAGCUACGGAAUGGGACGCCUGGGCCAAAGGAAGAAAGGGAGCUUUAAAAGGGGACCCACAUAGACACAACUUGGCGCUUUUGUCCUGAGUCCAUGCAGAAUCGAAGCUGUAAAGUAACCCUCGUGACUGUGCGACAGCCUGGAGCCUCUGGAAGAGAACAGAUGGAGAGAAAGCUCCAGCUCCUGUGCGCUGAGCAAGGACGGCAGAAUGGGCAUCACCGAUGGUGACUGUUUGGAGCCAGGUGAUGUAUAUGCCAUCACGAGUGUUCUUGUCGCCCUAAAGGUUCUGGAUGGCCAGGCUCAGACCCCACUUGUAAAGCAUAAAUCACAGAAUCCCAGAUUUACAAGGAACAUGAAUGCCCAUUCAGGUCUGCUCCAGAGACGGACACAGAGUCCCCUCAGCGCCUAGGCUAGGAAACCUCUUGAAUACCUCCACUGAUGGGGAACUCAGUAUCUGCAGAGGCCACACAUCCCACUGCAGAUCCACCUGGGGAGGAGGCAAUGGGAAAUAAACAAAGGGGCCAGAGGAGCCUGGCCGCUGAAGGCUGAUUCUGCCAGCCUCUCAGAUGAGCCUGAGGUAGGUCCAGCCUCGAACCUCCGGGCCACUGCCCUCUGCCAGAGAAGUCCCAUCUCUAGGAAGUAAGGGCAUCUCUGGGUGCUGGGCUCGAGGGGGAAGAUGUGGAAACAGGCCAGGGCACACACCAAUGGGUUCCACACCCCCCGGGCCACAGGAAGGAGAAAGGGUUGGCCCCCAGGCCGGGCGCAGCAGCACCAGCCGCUGCCAGGAAGAUCAAAACGCCCAGAUAAUGAGCCCAAUUCUUCUCGCGGAGACACCAACUAAUGAAGGGAACACAGGAAGGCCCCUGUCACAAGCCCAAACUGUUUAUACAAGUGUUAAAAAUACAUUUCAAAAGAAAGCAGGGAAGCCCGAGGAAACCCUCUGCCGCCCUUGGAAAAUGAUUUCUGAAAGCCACGUUAAUUUGUUUGCCGAAAGGUGUUUGAAGUCGCUUCGUGUACCCCUUGGGCAACUUUAAUUCCCCCUCCUAAUCCCCUAUUAAACCUGAUGCUCACUAGCACUGCCUGCUUAGGGGAUUAUGAUGUUUAUUCUUAAUUAUACAGAUACAUAUUUGGGUCCA
ensembl:lncRNA